CCGCCGGACCGCCCGGGGGCGGGGCUUCGCGCUGCGGAGGCUGGGGACGCGGCGGUGCCGCGGCAGCGGAAGCGGGAGAGCGGCGGGGGGCACCGGGGAGACCGGCCAGCAGCGCCGAGCGGCCGCCCGAGCCGCGGCUGGAGAUUGUCAGCCUGGCCUCUGAGAUGAUGGGCGUGGGAAAUGGGCGCCGGAGCAUGAAGUCGCCGCCCCUGCUGCUGGCUGCCUUGGUGGCCUGCGUCAUUGUCCUGGGCUUCAACUAUUGGAUCGCGAGCUCCCGGAGCGUGGAUCUCCAGACGAGGAUCAUGGAGCUGGAAGGCAGGGUCCGCAGGGCGGCCGCGGAGAGAGGUGCCGUGGAGCUGAAGAAGAACGAGUUCCAGGGCGAGCUGGAAAAGCAGCGAGAGCAGCUUGACAGGAUUCAGUCCAGCCAUGACUCCCAGAUGGAGAGCGUCAACAAGUUGUACCAGGAUGAAAAGGCGGCUUUAGUGCAUAAUAUCACCACAGGCGAGAGGCUCAUCCGCACACUGCAAGACCAGUUCAAGGCCCUGCAGAAGAACUACGGAAAGCUGCAGCGGGAUGUCCUCCAGUUCCAGAAGAACCAGACCAACCUGGAGAGGAAGUUCUCCUAUGACCUGAGCCAGUGUAUCAAUCAGAUGAAGGAGCUGAAGGAGCAGUGUGAGGAGCAGAUAGAAGAGGUCACUAAGAAGGGCAACGAAGCUGUGGCUUCCAGAGACCUGAGUGAGAAGGACCAAAGCCAGCAGCUCCGAGCCCUCGGUGAGCCUCAGCCCAGGCUGCAGGAAAUUGGCCAGCCUCAGGCAGAUGUGCCACCUGCAAAAGGAGGCGUGCCCAGCAACAGUGAGCCCCAGACCCCAGCCCCCAGCUCCCAGGCAGCUUUGGAUUUGAAGAGGCGAGGUGAGAAAGAGGAAACCAACGAGAUUCAGGUCAUCAGCGAGGAGGAGCUGCGGAGGGACCGCCUGGGGCUGCCGCGGGAGCCCGGCCAGCGGCAGGCUGGGGAAGAUGACAGCCUAGUGGGCAGAAGAGGCGUGGGGGAAGCCCAGGGUGGCCAGACCCCCCAGGUGCCGGCCGCCCUGUUGGCGAUCCAGGAAAAUCAGGAGCUGGAGGAGCUGGAGCGGGAACAACUCGUCAUCCCCGACGGGCAGGAGGAGGGGCAGGGUGCUGACGAGGAAGGGAGAAAUCAGCAAAAACUAGGGGAAGAUGGUGACUACAACAUGGAUGAAAAUGAGGCCGAAUCUGAGACAGACAAGCAGGUGGCUCUCACAGCGGAUGACAGAACCUUGCCAGGGAUGGUGGAAGCCACAUGGACUUCAUGGAGUAACAGCAGCUGACCAGAGCUGCGAGUGGCUCUGAGGAGGCAGUGCUUCCGGCGGGAGCUGCGCCAACAGAGGGUUCAUGCAGCAUUUCUUAAUGCUGAAAAUCAGAAAAUAGACACAAUAAAUUUACUUGAUCAGAAUGAAAAGAGGAAUCACACACUCUGAAUCAAACUGGAAUCACAUACUUCAUGUCCGGGUGGAACAGAAAUCACUACAAAAUAUUCAAGAGGGACAAUACUGUGAACUGCACUAAGUAAAACACAACUAAAGGUGAUUUUUGUGGUUUUAGUAUGUACUCUAGGUAGGAAAAUGAGAUUGCUUUUGCAACGGUUUUUGGGGACACUUUUGAAGUGUUUGUAUCAAGAUGUCAAAAUGUGUUGGCUAGUAGGUAUUUCAUGAGACUAUCAACACAGAAACAGGACACAAGUUCAAGUACGACGACAGCAGCGAUGCUUAUUCUGGAUUAUACCUUGUUUAAAAAACGGCCUAUAGGAAGAGUUCUUCUGUCAUGACAUGAAGGGGCCCCGUGUCCUUCAGAACUCCGCUCUCUCGGCUCCCUUCCCAUGCUGUGCUCAGUGAGCGGUUCCAGCCCCUUUCUUCUGUUCCCCGUCAGCAUGGAAUGAUAACUGGUUUUAAAUGGCUCUCAUGUGUUCACUUCUGGUUCUGACCAUCAGUGGCCCAGAGCACUGGCUCUACACACGGACAUCACUAGCAACAGUUUUACACAAGUCUAUAAAGGUGUUUUGUGCGAGAAUUUUUUAAAAGACUGCUUACAUAACAACCCAUCAUUAAUGUACAAAAAUGCUUUUAAGUGACUUGUAAUUUGAACGCUUGUGAUCUAUGCUUACUUAUAUAUGAAUAUAUGUAAGGCUGAAUAUAUAUGGGCAAAACAAGAUCUGUAAUAAGUCCACAUUACUAAGAGAAGCCUCCAGUGGGUUAGACCUUUGGUAUAAAAAGGGGCAAAAGCAGAGGUAAACCCUGGCACCUAGGGCCGCACAGCACUGGGGGGGCGGGUUUACUGUGGACAGACCAUUGCUUCACCACUAGAGGAAAAGGGGAGACAGCUGAUGUUAAGGAGGUAUAUACAGUGUUACAAAUCGGUUAAGUUUAGAAAGGCAAGAGAAGUGCAGUCCUUGGUUUUAUCAUAGUCUUCACAUUUAACUUGUAGUAAACAAUUAUCAAAACUGAUUUAAAAAUCAGAAGUUAAAUGUUUAUCUGAAAAUGACUAACCAUAAUUCCACUGAUAAUAGAGACAAUUAGCUUUGAUUUGAGUUGGUUACUAUUUCAGGUAAAUAGGCUCUUGCCACUUUUGAAUGACUGGCAGUCACAGGGACUUGCGGUGAGGCUCUAUAAAGGGCAAGCGGGUGGUGAGGCAUAUUAAAAUACAUCUUACGUCACAGGAUGGGAGGUGCAGGAGUGCAGGUCACCAGGUAGAACCCUGUGCUUUCAGAGAGGACACGAGGCCCAGGCCAAAGAGAGGGCAGGCGGCCUGGAGCCCUGGCCUCACACCUGGCAUGGACUCACUGUGCCCCUGGCAGCCCCGGAAGGCAGGACCUGGUUCCCACUCAGAUUACAAUCAACUUGAAAAGUUCUUCAUGUAGGAUAUCCUUUUACCAAAUCACUAAACUUUUCACCCAGAAAAGGCAACCUAAAAAGGUAUAAAAAAGUAGCUUUAUGACAUUGAAGUCCUUGUCUAGCCUCCCUUUGUCUUAAUUCUUAGGGUUGAUUUUCUCUAUAAUUUUUCCAUUAAUGAGCAAAGCCUUUAUUCAUCUCAUGAUCAAUGUGCAUACAAUUGUGGAAAUAAAAUCCUUUUUGUGGGUUCAAUUUUUAAAA